rnacentral:piRNA from 1 species
ACAGAACAAUGUGCUAAGCAGUG